rnacentral:misc_RNA from 1 species
AUGAAGAACGCAGUGAAAUGCGAUACGUAAUGUGAAUUGCAGAAUUCAGUGAAUCAUCGAAUCUUUGAACGCAUAUUGCGCUCUCUGGUAUUCCGGAGAGCAUGCUUGUUUGAGUAUCAGUAAACACCUCAACUUCCAUAUCUUUUUUGAAAUGGGAGUUGGACUUGAGUGAUCCCAACGCUUUUCCUCACCGAAAAGUGGCGGGUUACUUGAAAUGCAGGUGCAGCUGGACUUUUCUCUGAGCUAUAAGCAUAUCUAUUUAGUCUGCCUAAAAAACAGAUUAUUACCUUUGCUGCAGCUAACAUAAAGGAGAUUAGUUCUUGUGCUGACUGAUGCAGGAUUCACAAAGACAGGCUUCGGCCGACUUUGUAAACUCGAUCUCAAAUCAAGUAAGACUACCCGCUGAACUUAAGCAUAUCAAUAAGCGGAGGA